rnacentral:tRNA from 1 species
GGAGUUGUGGCUCAGUGGUAGAGCACUUGCCUAGCAUGUGUGAGGCACUGGGUUCAAUUCUUAGCAAUGCAU